GGCAUGGUGGCUUAGUGGUUAGCAUGUUUGCCUUGCACCUCUGGUGUUGGAGGUUCAAAUCCUACCUCUGUCC